UAGUCAUAUGCUUGUCUUAAAAAUUAAGCCAUGCAAGUCUAAGUAUAAACGAAUUUAUUCAGUGAGACUGCAGAAGGCUCAUUAUAUCAGUUAUUGUCUAGGCGAUGGGCAAUUACUACAUGGAUAACUGUAGUAAUUCUAGAGCUAAUACAUGCCAUAAAGCAUCUUUUUGAGGUGUGGCCUUAUUAGAAGUAAAGCCAGCCCGAUUCUUCGGAGCUUUGGUGAUUCAUAAUAAUGAUACCCAAUCGCACUGUUGUGCGAAACAUCGCUAGAAUUU
rnacentral:rRNA from 1 species